CGGCAACAGCUCAAAUUUGAAAUCUGGCGCAAGCCCGAGUUGUAAUUUGUAGAGGAUGCUUCUGGGUAGCGACCGAUCUAAGUUCCUUGGAACAGGACGUCAUAGAGGGUGAGAAUCCCGUAUGUGACCGGCCCGCACCCUUUACGUAGCUCCUUCGACGAGUCGAGUUGUUUGGGAAUGCAGCUCUAAAUGGGAGGUAAAUUUCUUCUAAAGCUAAAUACCGGCCAGAGACCGAUAGCGCACAAGUAGAGUGAUCGAAAGAUGAAAAGUACUUUGGAAAGAGAGUUAAAAAGCACGUGAAAUUGUUGAAAGGGAAGCGCCUGCAACCAGACUUCGCGGCAGUGUUCCGCCGGUCUUCUGACCGGUUCAUUCUCUGUCGCGAGGCCAUCAUCGUCUGGGCCCGCCGGAUAAGACCUGAGGAAUGUGGCUCCCCCUCGGGGGAGUGUUAUAGCCUCUGGUGAUGCGGCGUGGCUCGGGCGAGGUCCGCGCUUCGGCAAGGAUGAUGGCGUAAUGGUUGUCGGCGGCCCGUCUUGAAACACGGACCAAGGAGUCUAACAUCUAUGCGAGUGUUCGGGUGUCAAACCCCUACGCGUAAUGAAAGUGAACGGAGGUGGGAACCGUAAGGUGCACCAUCGACCGAUCCUGAUGUCCUCGGAUGGAUUUGAGUAAGAGCAUAGCUGUUGGGACCCGAAAGAUGGUGAACUAUGCCUGAAUAGGGUGAAGCCAGAGGAAACUCUGG
rnacentral:rRNA from 1 species